GGGGGACAUGAUUGAACGCCAGUGGUGGAAACGACAUUUCUACGGCUGCUGGUUGCUGGUUACUGGUUACUGGUUGCUGGUUGCUGGUUGCGCCUUUGAUGGCCAAAGGGGCCUCUAUCUAAUCGAAAGUAAGACUCCCACCCCUGUCUUCCGUACACCCCACCACGAUUCUUCAGAAGAUUAGCGAAGCUGGGCGGCGAAGGCAUUACGUUUCCUGCGCAAUUUCAGAAAAAGAUUCGGGCUAAAAAACAGACGACGCAACUGUACUUUCACAGCUGAACAGAAGGCCAAUUCUCGCCGAGAGUCAAGAAUCUCGAAUAUCUCUGUCUGGUUUCUAAGGAAUUUCAAUGGCAGAGAUUCUGCGUGUAGAGGCUAAUCUUCUAGCGAUAAGUGGUAUCUGGCGUAUUAGCAUAAAUAGCCAUAAUCUAGAAUCCCUGAAAGAAAGCCUUAAAGUCCGACCGGCUGGCUGGCUAUCUUCCAUUGGAAUUUGUGCGAUUUCCAGAUGAUCACCUGUCCGAACGGAAGGUGCUGCCACAAAAUCCCAACUCGGACACGUCCAGCCGUCCAGUUCGAGCUUAUGUAAGUGGCUCAGGGUACAGGAAGACGUGUCCAAAUUCAAUUUGGCCGAUGACGAAACCAACAAACUGAAAUCGAAGCCCCUUUCGCAGAGCCCCUUGCGAUUCACUUCCAAUGCGAAAAAUGGCAUGCUGCAUGUCUUCAUUAUCUUUUCGAAUACAAGUAUGCUUUAUAUAAUAGAAUACAGAGGAAUAUAUAUAUAUAUACAUGUGUGAUUUGCGGGAGACAAAGGUAAUCCCUGGGUAUUGCACGCGUUGUCGAUAAGCGAUCGAAUUGUAAACUCACUCAAUGCAAUCAGGCCAUUAAAUUGUAUUUGUAUCGUUCCACC